CGAGCGGUAGAGAUUCUUCGGAAUCUUGAGAGCGGCGUACGGGUGCGGAACACGUGUGCAACCUGCCUUUAUCUGGGGGAUAGCCUUUCGAAAGGAAGAUUAAUACCCCAUAAUAUACUGGAUGGCAUCAUUCGGUAUUGAAAACUCCGGUGGAUAGAGAUGGGCACGCGCAAGAUUAGAUAGUUGGUGAGGUAACGGCUCACCAAGUCUACGAUCUUUAGGGGGCCUGAGAGGGUGAUCCCCCACACUGGUACUGAGACACGGACCAGACUCCUACGGGAGGCAGCAGUGAGGAAUAUUGGACAAUGGGUGAGAGCCUGAUCCAGCCAUCCCGCGUGAAGGACGACGGCCCUAUGGGUUGUAAACUUCUUUUGUAUAGGGAUAAACCUAGAUACGUGUAUCUAGCUGAAGGUACUAUACGAAUAAGCACCGGCUAACUCCGUGCCAGCAGCCGCGGUAAUACGGAGGGUGCAAGCGUUAUCCGGAUUUAUUGGGUUUAAAGGGUCCGUAGGCGGAUCUGUAAGUCAGUGGUGAAAUCUCACAGCUUAACUGUGAAACUGCCAUUGAUACUGCAGGUCUUGAGUGUUGUUGAAGUAGCUGGAAUAAGUAGUGUAGCGGUGAAAUGCAUAGAUAUUACUUAGAACACCAAUUGCGAAGGCAGGUUACUAAGCAACAACUGACGCUGAUGGACGAAAGCGUGGGGAGCGAACAGGAUUAGAUACCCUGGUAGUCCACGCCGUAAACGAUGCUAACUCGUUUUUGGAGCGCAAGCUUCAGAGACUAAGCGAAAGUGAUAAGUUAGCCACCUGGGGAGUACGAACGCAAGUUUGAAACUCAAAGGAAUUGACGGGGGCCCGCACAAGCGGUGGAUUAUGUGGUUUAAUUCGAUGAUACGCGAGGAACCUUACCAAGGCUUAAAUGGGAAAUGACAGGUUUAGAAAUAGACUUUUCUUCGGACAUUUUUCAAGGUGCUGCAUGGUUGUCGUCAGCUCGUGCCGUGAGGUGUUAGGUUAAGUCCUGCAACGAGCGCAACCCCUGUCACUAGUUGCCAUCAUUAAGUUGGGGACUCUAGUGAGACUGCCUACGCAAGUAGAGAGGAAGGUGGGGAUGACGUCAAAUCAUCACGGCCCUUACGCCUUGGGCCACACACGUAAUACAAUGGCCGGUACAGAGGGCAGCUACACUGCGAAGUGAUGCAAAUCUCGAAAGCCGGUCUCAGUUCGGAUUGGAGUCUGCAACUCGACUCUAUGAAGCUGGAAUCGCUAGUAAUCGCGCAUCAGCCAUGGCGCGGUGAAUACGUUCCCGGGCCUUGUACACACCGCCCGUCAAGCCAUGGAAGUCUGGGGUACCUGAAGUCGGUGACCGUAACAGGAGCUGC
rnacentral:rRNA from 1 species